UACGUAGGAGGCAAGCGUUGUCCGGAAUUACUGGGCGUAAAGCGCACGUAGGCGGUUCGUUAUGUCGGAUGUGAAGCCCUUGGCUUAACCGAGGAAGUGCAUCCGAAACUGGCGAGCUAGAGUACGAAAGAGGAUCGCGGAAUUCCCGGUGUAGAAGGUGAAUUCGUAGAUAUCGGGAGGAACACCGGUGGCGAAGGCGGCGAUCUGGGUCGAUACUGACGCUGAGGUGACGAAAGCGUGGGGAGCAAACAGGG
rnacentral:rRNA from 1 species